GCAAGUUGAGCGGUAACAGGAAUUAGCUUGCUACUUCGGCGUCGAGCGGCGGACGGGUGAGUAAUGCCUAGGAAAUUGCCCUGAUGUGGGGGAUAACCAUUGGAAACGAUGGCUAAUACCGCAUAAUGCCUUCGGGCCAAAGAGGGGGACCUUCGGGCCUCUCGCGUCAGGAUAUGCCUAGGUGGGAUUAGCUAGUUGGUGAGGUAAUGGCUCACCAAGGCGACGAUCCCUAGCUGGUCUGAGAGGAUGAUC
rnacentral:rRNA from 1 species